rnacentral:rRNA from 1 species
AGACCUCUAAUCAGAAA